GGGAGGGCAGAGGCCGACUGCACUCUGCCCAGCUGCCAGCUCUUCCGCUGGUAUAGCCUGCAGGACAUCAGGCUCUGGACAAGGGACAAAGGGAGGGCAGAGGCCGACUGCACUCUGCCCAGCUGCCAGCUCUUCCGCUGGUAUAGCCUGCAGGACAUCAGGCUCUGGACAAGGGACAAAGGGAGGGCAGAGGCCGACUGCACUCUGCCCAGCUGCCAGCUCUUCCACUGGUAUAGCCUGCAGGACAUCAGGCUCUGGACAAGGGACAAAGGGAGGGCAGAGGCCGACUGCACUCUGCCCAGCUG